CUCUCUCUUAUUUUCCUCUCUUUCUCUCUCUAGAAAGUAAGUCCUAGAGCUUGGAGAAGAUGGAGAAGAGCUUGAAGAACUGGAUUUUAGUGGCUUGGUGGUCCUAGAAGCUCUCCAACAAGAAGGCUUUGGAAGAGCUUGGGCAAAGAUAACCGCAGCACGCGGACUAGAACUUCAAAAAAUUUCAAAAAAUUCAUCGUAACAUCCCUACAACUGUCUAAGGUGGGUGGUUACUAAAGCAAAUGGAUAAGUUGAAGCGCUUGCUGGCUGAGGCUGAGGCAGCGCUUGAAGCUCGCAAAAAGCCGCCGGAAGACACAGGCCAUCGGGUUGUCGGCGAAGGGCUUGUUAUCGACGAAUGGG